ACGGGUGAGUAACGCGUGGGUAACCUGCCCUAUACACAUGGAUAACAUACUGAAAAGUUUACUAAUACAUGAUAAUAUAUAUUUGCGGCAUCGCAGAUAUAUCAAAGUGUUAGCGGUAUAGGAUGGACCCGCGUCUGAUUAGCUAGUUGGUGAGAUAACUGCCCACCAAGGCGACGAUCAGUAGCCGACCUGAGAGGGUGAUCGGCCACAUUGGAACUGAGACACGGUCCAAACUCCUACGGGAGGCAGCAGUGGGGAAUAUUGCACAAUGGGCGAAAGCCUGAUGCAGCAACGCCGCGUGAACGAUGAAGGUCUUCGGAUCGUAAAGUUCUGUUGCAGGGGAAGAUAAUGACGGUACCCUGUGAGGAAGCCCCGGCUAACUACGUGCCAGCAGCCGCGGUAAUACGUAGGGGGCUAGCGUUAUCCGGAUUUACUGGGCGUAAAGGGUGCGUAGGUGGUCCUUCAAGUCGGUGGUUAAAGGCUACGGCUCAACCGUAGUAAGCCGCCGAAACUGGAGGACUUGAGUGCAGGAGAGGAAAGUGGAAUUCCCAGUGUAGCGGUGAAAUGCGUAGAUAUUGGGAGGAACACCAGUAGCGAAGGCGGCUUUCUGGACUGCAACUGACACUGAGGCACGAAAGCGUGGGUAGCAAACAGGAUUAGAUACCCUGGUAGUCCACGCUGUAAAC
rnacentral:rRNA from 1 species